rnacentral:rRNA from 1 species
UACGGGGGGGGCAAGCGUUGUUCGGAAUUACUGGGCGUAAAGGGUUCGUAGGUGGCCAACUAAGUCAGACGUGAAAUCCCUCAGCUUAACUGGGGAACUGCGUCUGAUACUGGAUGGCUUGAGUUUGGGAGAGGGACGCGGAAUUCCAGGUGUAGCGGUGAAAUGCGCAGAUAUUAGGAGGAACACCGGUGGCGAAGGCGCCGCUCUGGGCCGAAAACUGACGCUG